GGGGCACCCCCCUAAAGCUGAUCGUAGCUAUCAUGCAGUCGAGCGGAAGAUGGGAACUUGCUCCCUGAUGUUAGCGGCGGACGGGUGAGUAACACGUGGGUAACCUGCCUGUAAGACUGGGAUAACUCCGGGAAACCGGGGCUAAUACCGGAUGGUUGUUUGAACCGCAUGGUUCAGACAUAAAAGGUGGCUUCGGCUACCACUUACAGAUGGACCCGCGGCGCAUUAGCUAGUUGGUGAGGUAACGGCUCACCAAGGCGACGAUGCGUAGCCGACCUGAGAGGGUGAUCGGCCACACUGGGACUGAGACACGGCCCAGACUCCUACGGGAGGCAGCAGUAGGGAAUCUUCCGCAAUGGACGAAAGUCUGACGGAGCAACGCCGCGUGAGUGAUGAAGGUUUUCGGAUCGUAAAGCUCUGUUGUUAGGGAAGAACAAGUGCCGUUCAAAUAGGGCGGCACCUUGACGGUACCUAACCAGAAAGCCACGGCUAACUACGUGCCAGCAGCCGCGGUAAUACGUAGGUGGCAAGCGUUGUCCGGAAUUAUUGGGCGUAAAGGGCUCGCAGGCGGUUUCUUAAGUCUGAUGUGAAAGCCCCCGGCUCAACCGGGGAGGGUCAUUGGAAACUGGGGAACUUGAGUGCAGAAGAGGAGAGUGGAAUUCCACGUGUAGCGGUGAAAUGCGUAGAGAUGUGGAGGAACACCAGUGGCGAAGGCGACUCUCUGGUCUGUAACUGACGCUGAGGAGCGAAAGCGUGGGGAGCGAACAGGAUUAGAUACCCUGGUAGUCCACGCCGUAAACGAUGAGUGCUAAGUGUUAGGGGGUUUCCGCCCCUUAUUGCUGCAGCUAACGCAUUAAGCACUCCGCCUGGGGAGUACUGUCCGCAAGACUGAAACUCAAAUGGAAA
rnacentral:rRNA from 1 species